GAGGAUUACAAAAAUCAAUUUCAGGAGCUGGGAACAGAAUUUGCAUCGUGGCAAAGAGAAAUCUGUGCGUGUUGUGUUUUCCCCCAAAGGCCACUGCUGCUCUUUUGUAUAAAAACUCAUACAGGAGAAGAUUUCAUUAAGGACUCUAAAGAACUUCUUCUACCUGUGGUGAAACUGGAAACGAGAGGCAUUCAGUUCUUACAUUUACAAAAUGAAAUGUUAGUAUCUUCCCCAAAUGUGCUGCUCUGCUUAUAAAAGGAAAGAAAAAUGCACGAGGGAAACAUUGUAAUUAAGAGUUGUCCUUGAAAGCUUAUAAGUGCACUGCCUGUCUGCAAAAUCACAGCCAUGUAUGAAUAAAGGUUAUACUGGAAGUAGUGCUGAUUAUGUUAAUAUUAAAAUUAUUGUAAAAUAAAUUGCUUUAAUUAGUUUAACUGAGGUUUUAGCAGCAACUAAUUUCCAAUUUAAUACGGCUGAAUACACUUCCCAAUGAAAAAUGUGACUCAGCUCUUUCUCUUUUUAACGCUGACUGGUUUUUUGUUGUUUUAAUUCUCUUAACAUUUUUUAAUCACAAUUGUCUAUUUUUGCUCAUUUUGAAUACAUUUAUAAACAUUUUCUAAAUGUUUUUUAUAUUUUUACAUUUUUUGUUUUUGUGAAGCGCCUCUCAGUUGCCUUUCAGUAUCACUGCCUACCGAUAGGUGGCGGUGUCGCGUUUUUUUGCGUCGCUUUGACCUCUAAUCAACCGAAGCAGUUAGCUUAGCACGUUCCUUAGUCACGAUGACAUUGAAAGCUGAAACUCACCAAAGUCCUGUUACUUGGUCCAACUUCAAGUAAUAAAACCUGACAGCUGAAUUAAAUCUGGAUCCAUCGCCUGAAUCCCUCUCAUUGCGUGGGAGGGGCUACGGCUGAUGAUGACAACAUGGUGGCUCGCUUUAUGGACUAUUCCUAACCAGCAGGUGUAGAGAGUCCCCAUGUCCAGCAUGGAGAGCAGCUCGGCUUUGGAUUUGGGGAAAGACAGACGGUAUCGCAGCGUCUCAAAGGCCGGAACCACCAGAGCCUUCUUGGUGUGAGCCAUGUCCAACUGGACCACAGCCUUCCUGUAACAGCAGCAGACAAACCAAGAGUGUGAACGUGAACUUCUGGCUCCCAAUCAUCACGAGGACGCUCAGCGUAGUCGGUCCGGGUUUCCUCUCAUCUACGGAACAAACACACCGAGGAUCUGCCAGCCAAAACGUCCCCCUGAGACUCACACUCGGAUAUUGGCUUGUCACACUUUUUCUUCCCGUUUGACUCCAUCUUUGUUAUUUUGAUGGAGUUAGGGGGUUCUAGACUACUUUGUGGACGGGUGGGUUUCUGUUAGUCCACGUAAUCCAAAACUAAUCAAAAAGAAAUGCCAAUUUUUUUUAUUUUACUAUGUAAAUGUUGUUUUUGUGGAAAAGGGAAUUAAACUUUAAUAGAUCACUGAAACUUUUAUAUGAUUAUGUCCAAUUCUAAUAGGUCACUGAGUGUUUCAUGCAGGCCGAACAUGAAAAUAGUCACCUACACCUACCUCCUACAUCAGCUCUGAUAGAAAACAGACUAGGAUUAGAAAAUCCUGACAGAUCUACGUCACAAUGUCACUUAACAGUCAUGGACUCAUCCAUCUUGACUCAUGAUGGAGAAGGCUGUUGUUGGUUUAGCGUCCAGGAAACAGCAGAGAACAUGUUGGCUACUAGAAGCUACUAUCGAAACUUCUGGGUAAUUUUACCGGAUCAUUUCAGGAUGCACAUGUUUCUUCACUGAGCCAUUUCAGGCACCAGAACUGGGGCAUGCAAUCACAAAUGGCCCAGUUUGUGGUUAAUUAGUUGGUGGUAGCUCAGUAGGUAAUGACAUCAGCAGAUGUCACACAGCUGGUAUUAGUAAAACUGGAAGUUGUUGGUGAAUCGGAAUGGAAAGUAAAGGAAAAAAGCAGAUUUAUGCUUCUAAACUCAACCCUGAAAACACAAGAGGGAAAUCUCUCGUUUACGCUGCUUUGUAGUUUUUUACGGCACUUCUUUUGGUCCAUUUUACGUCACACAGAUGCUCUCCUAGUCCCCUGAAAGGAUGAAAUUACAUCGUUUUUUGACAGAAUAAACUUUGUCAACGUCAUUAACUCAUUCACUGCCAAUGAAGCCCAAAAAUCGUCAUUUGCAUUUUUUUUUUUAACUGUGUGGGCGUCGGACGAGCCCCCGCACCGUGAAAACAAACAUCUCCGCUCUAAAGCCGAUCUUCAUCCGCACACGUCACGUGAUCAGGAAGCAGAACAUCCAUGUGUUAGGAGAUCGUUUUGGGCCGCUGUUGUAAAAAAAGUGAGGCGCAAACCGGAAAAGCCUCUGCCGAUCACAAUUCAACAACGGAUUAUGAAAGAACGGAUAAAGCUUGAAACGCGCCCAUUCUUCCUGAUGUAAGAGGUGAGUCUCCACGUUGUUUUGGUUGUUUUGGCGUCGGCAUCAUCCUAGCGCACAACGUUCUGUCACUCUUUAAAAAAAACAGUAAAACGGUGAGAAACGCUGGCAGUGAAGGGCUUUACCAAUCAGGAAACGGCUGGUAGUGAAUGAGUUAAUGUUUGUGGACGCCUUUUGGCGCUGAUCAGUGACAUCGCCCAAUGCUGAAAAGAUUGCAAUAUGCCGAAAUCUCAUCAAAGUCUUGAAACGACUGAAUUUAGUGUGGAGACACAACUGAGAGAUCCGAGCCAUCGUAUUUUCCUGUCACCUUUCUCCCUCUCCAAGAAAUUUCCCAAAGCUCCGGUGGACAGUUGGCUGUGGGUUUGGUCCCCAUGUUGAGAUGUUUUGAUCACAUUCCUGAACGUGUGAAACCAUCUGGAGCGCACAGAGAGAAGAUUUUCUCCACCUCCAUUGUGAGAGUAAAACUAGUUCUAAGAUCUGGAGUUUCAACUUUUUCCUCCAAGAGUUUCCAUGAUGAACCUCGGGUGAACUUCUAGGGCAGGGGUGUCCAAUCCUGGUCCUGGAGGGCCGGUAACCAGCAGGUUUUGUGGUUUUUCUGCUUCAACACGCUUGAUUAGCUGGUUGAAUCACCUGUGCAGCAGCUCAUCAGGCUCUGCAGAAGCCUGUUAAUCACCUGCUGAUUGAAAUCAGGUGUGUUGA